UCAAAUUUCAAAAAAAGAACUUCGCUCUCUCAUUUCUAAUUUCUUCAUCUUUCUUCUCAACGGCAACAUCUCCCUCCUCUCCCCCCUCUCUCCUCCUUCCCUUCUCCUCGCUCUCUUGUCUCCUUCGUCUUCCUCAGAAUCUUCACUCUUCCUUUCUCUCAAUUUCCAUUCUCUAAAAUGAAGCAUCCACCCAAGAAACCCUAUCUUGCUAAAUACCCAUCUCGCCGAUCCACUGCCAUCUUCUAUUCCUAGCGCUAACGGCGCCGGAAUCAAGGGCGGAAGACCCCUCGGAAACCUAUGUCCUCUUCCAAAGAAAAUGCUUCUACCGUCAGAUCCCAAAUUCCCAACUCCAUGGUUCCCGAUUCCAAACCCUCGCCGACUAAGUUGAAGAGCCUCCUCCAGAGACCGUUCCUGAGAAUUCCAUCCCUGGGUUGUCUGAUUGUGUUGUUAAGAUUAGAGAAGAUGUAAAAUCUGGUGUAGAAAAUUUAACAGAGGAGUGUGUAUCCACAAUGGCAGACGUUACUCGGCUUCUGAUGAAGUCGAUUAUGGUGGCUCGCUUUGGAAACUUGUUACAUAGCUACUGCCUAAAGCUUUAAAUUGCCUUCCGGAUGCACCUCAAAAUCAGCUUCAUUCUUUGUGUUUCCUAAUUUCUAGCUCACUCAAUUCAGCCAUGGAAGUAGUGAGGAGUUUAGACAGUUUUCACCUACAAUACGGUGAAAGUAAACCUUCGUAUAUUGGAGAAACACGCUUAAGGAAUUCACUGAGAACAUUGAGAUCUGUUUCAACAAGGGAAACCUUUGCAACCAAGGGAAGGUUUUCUGUUUCCUUCUCUUUUUUCAAUACAUAAAAUCUUGCUUAAAAUGCUUUGAGGACAGAGCAAAAUUUUAAGUACGGGUUCAGAUUGUCGCCUUGCAUGUCUAAUGUCCAUUGAGAAAUUUUCAUUUGGUAAAAAAUUCCCAAAUUUUAAAUAUUUUCAAAUUCUUUAUUCUUAAAAUAAAUACCAUGUCUACUUUGCGUUCUAGUUUAAAAAAGCAUGCAUGCCUAACCAUUGAGCAUGGAGCUUAGAGUUGUGAUUGUGUUUCUUAUUUGAAUAUCUUAAAUAUGUUGAAAAUCCAUACUUUAAUAGCAUAGAAAUGAGUAGAAGACAUACUAUCCAUUUUCUAAAUAUUGUGAAUACUGUAUAUACUCGAUAGUAUGUGUUGAAAACAUAGCCUAACCAAAAAAAGAUUUGCCUGGCCCUUCGAGUCCAGUCAUUUAAGUCAAGUAGAAUGCA